rnacentral:lncRNA from 1 species
AGUCGUCUAAAACUCCGCAAUCAGGCACACGUUCGACUCCAUCUAAAACCACAGCUUUUUUUAGAAGAUUUUUUUGGUAUCACUUCUAUUUAAAUUAUUUACCUCACUGUAUUUUUUAGUUCACGUUCGUGUUUGUCUGUUUGUCUUGCUCUUAUGGGGUGUUUCCACAGGCUUUUGCGAGGAAAGUGCCGGAGAAUUCAGGCGUCAAACCAAACGGCUUCUCUGUGGACUAAUGGAGCUGAAAGCUGAUGAUGAUGAUGAUCGAGAAAAUAUCAUGCAAACAUCAUUUGCCAUCAGUGAAAGCAGAUCUAGAGAUAAGAGGCUCAAAGGGGACUGAGCAACUCGCUUUCGACACAUCUGAGGAGUCCACUGAAAGAGCUAAUAACGGGAUCAAGGGUAUGCAUUUCCACCAUAUGAUAUCAAGAAAGCGCUUCCCCAACAGAUGUUUUGAGAUCAACACAAUAUACUUGCGAUGAACUUCAAUGUUUGUGUGUUUUUGAGGGUACAUCUAUAGUAUGACUCUGAAACAGUCAGUACAUUUCCAUCGACAACAAUGUUUUUGAUGCCAUGUGUUGUGAUGCCAUGAUUCAUUUAACACUUUGAUUAAGAAUUCAUUACGUAAACAGGGAUUUUUCAUUACCUUAAUCCAGUUCAGUUCAUACUUAGUUAAGUAAUCACGAGUCUAAUGGGAUGUUGAGUAUAGACCCUUUUCACAUUUACAGGUUUCUUAGUAGCGGAAGUCAUCAAAGUUGAGAGAACUUAGACCGCAAUGAAUGGGAGAAUACGACAAUUUUUUUUUACAAUGUUAUU